rnacentral:tRNA from 1 species
GCCGCAAUAGCUCAGUUGGGAGAGCACGUCAUUCGUAAUGACGGGGUCGGGGGUUCGAAUCCCUCUUGCGGCACCA